rnacentral:rRNA from 1 species
ACGAACGCUGGCGGCAGGCUUAACACAUGCAAGUCGAACGCCCCGCAAGGGGAGUGGCAGACGGGUGAGUAACGCGUGGGAACGUGCCCUUCGCUUCGGAAUAGUCCCGGGAAACUGGGUUUAAUACCGAAUACGCCGUAUAGGGAAAGAUUUAUCGGCGAAGGAUCGGCCCGCGUUAGAUUAGCUAGUUGGCGGUGUAAUGGACCACCAAGGCUACGAUCUAUAGCUGGUCUGAGAGGAUGAUCAGCCACACUGGGACUGAGACACGGCCCAGACUCCUACGGGAGGCAGCAGUGGGGAAUCUUGGACAAUGGGCGCAAGCCUGAUCCAGCCAUGCCGCGUGAGUGAAGAAGGCCUUAGGGUUGUAAAACUCUUUCGCCGGUGAAGAUAAUGACGGUAACCGGAGAAGAAGCCCCGGCUAACUUCGUGCCAGCCGCCGCGGUAAUU